rnacentral:rRNA from 1 species
GCAGUAAGGAAUAUUGGUCAAUGGGCGGAAGCCUGAACCAGCCAUGCCGCGUGCAGGAAGACGGCCCUACGGGUUGUAAACUGCUUUUGUACCGGAAUAAACCUUUCUUCGUGAAGAGAGCUGAAUGUACGGUAAGAAUAAGGAUCGGCUAACUCCGUGCCAGCAGCCGCGGUAAUACGGAGGAUCCGAGCGUUAUCCGGAUUUAUUGGGUUUAAAGGGUGCGUAGGCGGCCAGUUAAGUCAGGGGUGAAAGACGGUAGCUCAACUAUCGCAGUGCCUUUGAUACUGACGGGCUUGAAUACACUUGAGGUAGGCGGAAUGUGACAAGUAGCGGUGAAAUGCAUAGAUAUGUCACAGAACACCAAUUGCGAAGGCAGCUUACUAAAGUGUGAUUGACGCUGAGGCACGAAAGCGUGGGGAUCAAACAGGAUUAGA